AGCAGUCGCCGCGGUAAUACAGAGGGUGCGAGCGUUAAUCGGAUUUACUGGGCGUAAAGCGUUCGUAGGCGGCUUCUUAAGUCGGAUGUGAAAUCCCUGAGCUUAACUUAGGAAUUGCAUUCGAUACUGGGAAGCUAGAGUAUGGGAGAGGAUGGUAGAAUUCCAGGUGUAGCGGUGAAAUGCGUAGAGAUCUGGAGGAAUACCGAUGGCGAAGGCAGCCAUCUGGCCUAAUACUGACGCUGAGGUACGAAAGCAUGGGGAGCAAACAGGAUUAGAUACCCCAGUAGUCCCUGUCUCUUAUAC
rnacentral:rRNA from 1 species